UAAUACGUAGGUGGCAAGCGUUGUCCGGACUAACUGGGCGUAAAGCGCACGCAGGUGGUCGUGCAAGUGAGGUGUGAAAGCUCUCGGCUUAACUGAGAGAGGCCAUCUCAGACUGCUCGACUGGAGGGCGGCAGAGGUCGGUGGAAUUGCCGGUGUAGUGGUGAAAUGCGUAGAGAUCGGCAGGAACACCCAGGGGGAAACCAGCCGACUGGGCCGCAUCUGACGCUCAGGUGCGAAAGCGUGGGGAGUGAACUGGAUUAGAUACCCAGGUAAUCCACGCCGUAAACGAUGGACGCUCGGCAUCUGAGGCGGGUAUCCCCCGCCUGGGGUGCCUCAGCUAACGCGGUAAGCGUCCCGCCUGGGAACUACGAGCGCAAGCUUA
rnacentral:rRNA from 1 species